rnacentral:rRNA from 1 species
GAUCAACGCUGGCGGCGUGCCUAAUGCAUGCAAGUCGCACGGAGCUUCGGCUCAGUGGCGGACGGGUGAGGAACACGUGGGUAACCGACCCGGGAGUGGGGAAUAACUGUUCGAAAGGACAGCUAAUACCGCAUACGUUCACCUGCGGGACGACGUGGGUGAAGAAAGCAGCGAUGCGCUCCCGGCCGGGUCUGCGGCCGAUUAGCUAGUUGGUGGGGUAACGGCCUACCAAGGCGACGAUCCGUAGCUGGUCUGAGAGGAUGAUCAGCCACACUGGGACUGAGACACGGCCCAGACUCCUACGGGAGGCAGCAGUGGGGAAUAUUGGACAAUGGGGGAAACCCUGAUCCAGCAAUGCCGCGUGAGUGAUGAAGGCCUUAGGGUUGUAAAGCUCUUUCGCACGCGACGAUGAUGACGGUAGCGUGAGAAGAAGCCCCGGCUAACUCCGUGCCAGCCGCCGCUGUAAAAC